rnacentral:lncRNA from 1 species
GAUAUUACAAGACAAUAAAAUUCACUACAAGAAUCGCAAUAUUGUUGAUGUCAUACAGUAAUAAGGAAAAUAUUUACUUUUUCUAGUUGAACAAUACAUUUAUGUUAGGUGAAGAAUAUCAUUGGUGUUCAAAACAUAUUUUAUGCCCCAUUUAUGGGCAUUAUGUUUUCUGGUCUGUGUGUCCAUCCGUUCAUUCCUCCAUCCAUUCGUCUGUCCCUCCAUCCCACUUGACGUUAAAUUUUUGGGCGAGGUAGUUUAUGAUGAAGUUGAAGUCCAAACAACUUGAAACUUAGUAAACAUGUUCCCUAUGAUAUGAUAUUUCUAAUUUUAAUGCCAAAUUAAAGGUUUUUCCCAUUUUCACGGUCCACUGAACAUAGAAAAUGAUAGUACAGAGAUCUGUGUAUUUGGGACACAUUCUUGUUUCAUAUUAUACUACCUGUAGUUGCCAGCA